CAUGCAAGUCGAGCGGAUGACGGGAGCUUGGUCCUUGAUUCAGCGGCGGACGGGUGAGUAAUGCCUAGGAAUCUGCCUGGUAGUGGGGGACAACGUUUCGAAAGGAACGCUAAUACCGCAUACGUCCUACGGGAGAAAGCAGGGGACCUUCGGGCCUUGCGCUAUCAGAUGAGCCUAGGUCGGAUUAGCUAGUUGGUGGGGUAAUGGCUCACCAAGGCGACGAUCCGUAACUGGUCUGAGAGGAUGAUCAGUCACACUGGAACUGAGACACGGUCCAGACUCCUACGGGAGGCAGCAGUGGGGAAUAUUGGACAAUGGGCGAAAGCCUGAUCCAGCCAUGCCGCGUGUGUGAAGAAGGUCUUCGGAUUGUAAAGCACUUUAAGUUGGGAG
rnacentral:rRNA from 1 species